AUUGAACGCUGGCGGGAUGCCUUACACAUGCAAGUCGAACGAGUGGCGUACGGGUGAGAAAUGUCUGGGAAACUGCCCGAUGGCGGGGGAUAACUACUGGACAGAGUGGCUAAUACCGCAUACCCUCGGAGCUGCCUAUAUGGGAUUAGCUAGUAGGUGGGGUAAAGGCUCACCUAGGCGACGAUCCCUAGCUGGUUUGAGAGGAUGAACAUCCACACUGGGACUGAGACACGGCCCAGACUCCUACGGGAGGCAGCAGUGGGGAAUAUUGCACAAUGGGCGAAAGCCUGAUGCAGCCAUGCCGCGUGUAUGAAGAAGGCCUUCGGGUUGUAAAGUACUUUCAGCAGGGAGGCGGUACCUGCAGAAGAAGCACCGGCUAACUCCGUGCCAGCAGCCGCGGUAAUAC
rnacentral:rRNA from 1 species